rnacentral:rRNA from 1 species
UACGAAGGGGACUAGCGUUGUUCGGAAUUACUGGGCGUAAAGCGCACGUAGGCGGAUUUGUAAGUCAGGGGUGAAAUCCCGGGGCUCAACCUCGGAACUGCCUUUGAUACUGCAAAUCUCGAGUCCGAUAGAGGUGGGUGGAAUUCCUAGUGUAGAGGUGAAAUUCGUAGAUAUUAGGAAGAACACCGGUGGCGAAGGCGAGUCCCUGGACAACUCCUGACACUGAUGCACGAAAGCUAGGGGAGCAAACAGG